rnacentral:rRNA from 1 species
UACGUAGGGGGCAAGCGUUGUCCGGAUUUAUUGGGCGUAAAGAGUCGUGUGAGCGGCCAGGUAGGUCUGCUGUGAAAACCCCGGGGCUUAACCCUCGGGCUGGCAGGUGGAUACGGACAGACUAGAGGUAGGUAGGGGAGAAUGGAAUUCCCGGUGUAGCGGUGAAAUGCGUAGAGUAUCUGGAGGAACACCGGUGGCGAAGGCGGCAAGUCCUGGACCGACGACGUGACGCUGACGGAGCGAAAGCCAGGGAGCAAC